UAAUAUACUUACUCGAUACGAAGUUUGUUCUAUGAUAUAAGACAGGACAGGUGGAUAAUAUUAUAUUUUAUAGGCUUGCAUUGAUAAUUUGUUCAUUGAUUGUAGUGAACAAUAAGUAACAACCAGCAAACGCAAGUUUUAUACAGUCAUACUUCAUAUAAUAAUGUAUUGUAGACUAUAGAAAUACCUAACAAAUUGAAUGACGAAGCAUUUAUCAAAGUCAAUUCUCAACUCAACAUUGUACUUCAACGAUGACAUACUAAAAAUAAUUGAGAAGAUUAUUCAUUAUUCGUGCACCGUGGGCCAUCCAGCAAUGUAAAUCAACAUGGCGUUCAGAAGCAUCAAAAUCAAAAUCAUUUACUCUAUUUAAAAUAUUAUCUAUGUUUGAAGUUCCAUCAUCGUUGACAGGAUGAGAUGAUCUAGGGUAA